ACUGCUCUGAUGGAGCUGAGCCAUCUGCGUCCUGCCCUGGAUGACCUCACUGAGGCAAGCCUUUCUGGGACCCUGGAUGGCCUGGAAGCAGAUAGACUGAAGUCCCUGACCAGGAAGUGGGCACAGGCCCUCUACUGCACCUCCCACAUGAACAGGUAAGUGGGCCCAUUGUUUACAGAUCUACUGUAGGAUCAGCCUCCUCUCCCCCAAUCCUUACCUUAACCAUUAGCGGGGAAAGUGCAAAACUGACCCAAUAUCAGCUGGGGGGGUACAAUUUACAUUAAUUCCCAAGAAUAAACGUAAGGGAUUUUACUGAAUAAUUGGACAUGUAUUGUGUGUGUGUUUGUGUACUUACACGUGUGUGUGUGUGUGUGUGUGUGCUCAACAGAAAAUUGCAAGCUGAUGCCCAGCACUCCCAGAGCCUUCAACAGAAGUGGGACAGCUGGGAGGGCUUCCAGGAGAAGAUGGAGGAGGACUUGGCCCCAGACGUUUCUGGAAACUACUCCGGCCUCCGUGAGCAACUGGCAAUCCAUCAGAGACUCCGGAUUGAAGUAUUGGCUGGGCACCAACUCUUGAGAGGGGUGAUCGUCAACUCAAUGAGGUCAAUUGAAGACACACCAGAGGAGAAAAGGCCUGACCUCACCCUAAAGCUCGCCCAGAUGAGAGAGCGAUGGCAGCGGAUUGUUAGUGUGGCACAGCAGCGAAGUAGCCUGGUGCAGGAACGGCUGGGCCAGUGGCGGUUCUACACCCGGGGUGUGAGGAGGCUAGGGGGGCUGCUGAGAGAUGUGGAGACCUUACUUCCUUCUGCUGCUCAGGCCCUCUGCACUCUGCAGCAGCUACCAUGUUCCCUGGAGGACUUGAGGGUGAGAACAUCAUAUAAUUAA
rnacentral:lncRNA from 8 species